AUAAACUUAAAACUCAUUUGAGAAAGUAAUUAAUUUUAUAAUUUGAAACUUUGAGCUUCACUCUUCACCUCAGCUUAGUAAAAUUAGCCACUUAUAUUGAAAGAAAAUAAAACACUCUUUUUAUUAUUUGACAAACUUCUGGAAUAUAUUAUAAGAAAAUUGGUACAGAAAAAAAUAAGAAAAAAAAAGAAAGAAAUAAAUCCUCAG
rnacentral:lncRNA from 1 species